UUUACAGGUGAUUGACAUGCUCAA
rnacentral:siRNA from 1 species